rnacentral:rRNA from 1 species
AGCAGCCGCGGUAAUUCCAGCUCCAAUAGCGUAUAUUAAAGUUGUUGCAGUUAAAAAGCUCGUAGUUGAAUUUCGGGGUUCUACCGUUGGUCGGGCUUUGUCUGUACUGGCGUGUGGAAUUUCUACCUUCUGGGGAACUAUCAUGUUAUUAAUUUAGCGUGGUGGGAAACCAGGACCUUUACCUUGAAAAAAUUAGAGUGUUCAAAGCAGGCUUACGUCUGAAUACAUUAGCAUGGAAUAAUAAAAUAGGACGGUGGUCCUGUUUUGUUGGUUUCUGAAUCACCGUAAUGAUUAAUAGGGAUAGUUGGGGGCAUUAGUAUUCAAUUGUCAGAGGUGAAAUUCUUGGAUCUAU